rnacentral:lncRNA from 1 species
CGCGAGAGUGCAGCCUGUGCCAGGUGUGGGAAAACCCCAGGGACCCCAAACCUCUCACUGCCUCGAGAGGAGCAGCUCAGUGCAGUGGAAAAUUUCAUGGAAGCCAAAAUCCCUGCCUCUUACUGGAUAUGAGGGCCUUUGAGGGGAACAUCCAACCUCUCUGAGCCUCAGUGUCCUCAUCCGCAAAACAGAUAAUAACUCCUCUCUCACAGAGUGUGGAUUCGUUUUUGAGGGCUGCUGUAACAAAGUACCACAGACCAAGUAGCUUAAACAAGUGGAGUGUAAGCACCAUGACAACAGGAACUGUGUCUUGACCACUGUUGACUUCCAAGCACCUCAAAUAGGACCUGUCACAUAGAAGUUUCAAUCAAUAUUUGUUGAGUGAAUGAAGACAACAGUGCCAACGACCUCACAGACACAGGUUGUGGAUAGCAGCAGACAUGGAGGUGGAGGCUGGGCGGCCAGUGAUGCUGUGAGUCAGUUCUGCAGGCUGUACGGGAAGCACGGCACCAGUAUCUGCUUCUGGUGAGGACUCAGGAGCUUAAAAUCAUGGUGGAAGCAGGGAGAGCAAGCAUGUCACAAGGUGAGAGAGGAAGCAAGAGAGAAGUGGAGAGGUCCCAGACUCUUUCUAACAACCAGAUCUCACAUGAAUUCCUUACUGCUGGGAGGGCAGCAAACUAUGCAUGAAUGAUCCAUCCCAUGACCCAAACACCUCCCAGUAGGCCCCACCUUCAACAUUGGGAAUCACAUUUCAACAUGAGAUUUGGAGGGGACAAACAUCCAAACUAUAUCAGAUGGGAACCGUCAGGGCAGUUGAGCAAAGACGUGACAGGAUUUGGCUUCCAUUAUGAAAGCAUUGCUAGGGACACUGGGUGGAGAAUUAGACCACAGAGGGGUCAGAAAGCAGGAGGAAAAUCAGGAACUCCCCACCCCCCGCCAUAUUCAGAUGAUGAUUCUCAGCUCACAAAUGUGCCUCCAAAAUCUGAUGGCACCAUGACCCUCUCCUGGAUCCUCGGGUGACUUCGCUCUGCCUUUAAAUGGAACAUAUACACGGGCAGCCACGAGAUCCUGCACGUUCUGCACCAGCCUCCCUCUGCAUUGCCUUGCUACCAUGGAUUUGCCUUCUGUUCUCUCUCUCUCUUACUUGGUGAUUCCACCCGAGACCGUGUUUCUGGUACUUACCUGGCCCGUGUGCAUUUCCCUGAUGCCUGCGAUGUUCUCCUCCACUUCUUUAUCUGGCUAAGACCUGGUCACCUUAACCAUCUUCAACCUUCUGUUUCUCAGGGAAGCCACUCCUGCCUCUCGCAGACCAGCCUGGGUAGGGCUUCGUACAGCCUAGGGUUCCCCCCCUACUUUGGUCAUACUGCUCACUUUUGGGAGUACCUGCUCUUUUUGGUCUCUUUCUUUGGGCUCCAGUCACCAAGGCCAGGUCAACUUCUCUCUUGUUCACCCGUCAGCACUUAAGCCAAGUGCACAAUCCCAAAAACCUGAUGGCACCACGACCGUCCGGAAUAUCUGGACCCUUGACAAGGAAUACUUUGUGAGGUGAACAGAAUACUUGCCAACAUCACACAGCUACUAAGCGGGCAGAUCAAGGAUCAAACUCCUGCUUCCAACUUCUUCCUGGCCCCUGGACCUUAACUCAAGGCUCAGUUUAGCCUCAGCUGGUGACAGCUGGUGAGUAAGACAUUCAGUUUUUCUGGGUCUCGGUUUUCCCAACUAUUAAAUGACAGGGUUGGAUGCUGAGUUCAUUUCCAGGGCUCCAGGAUCUGCAAAGGCUCCCCCAGUCCAUCUGACCACAAGAAUUACCCAGGCCUGGGGACACUUGUAAGAAUACUCACCUGAACCUGCAGAAUCACAGCUCCAGAAGAUGAACCUGGGAUUCUCAUUCUGUUUAUUUGUUUGUUUAUUCAAGGGUCCCAGGUGAAUCUUAUCACCAAAUAAGUUUUGGAAAUACAUUUCUAAGGGACUCCUUCCCAAAGGAGCUUCCCAGAACAGAAAGGUCAAAGAGGAGGCAAAAACAUGAUUGUAGUGGCUAUUUCAGCACAGCAACAGUUCCUUCUCAAAUGUCUCCUCUCUAUUAUAAAAAGAAACUUUGCAUCUGAGCCUGAUAUUUAUUUAUGCGAAUUAUUUUGUGGGAUGAAUGGAAGUCUCCAGAACUUUCACGGAAAGUUCCGCUUCCUGGACAACUGUAAAUAGCUCUGCCCUGACAAACUUUGACCAAGUGCAAAUUAAGGAACACUCAAAAGGAGCACAAGCAGAGAUGAGGACACUCUCAGAACUCCUGAAAGGAGAGGCAGAAGCUCAGAGAGGUUAAUCAGCUUAUCUGAAGUCACACAUCUGGUAGGUGGUAGAGGUGGAACCAGACCCAGCCCUCUGCAUCCCUGGCUGGUAUUUUUCCUUCUGAAACACAAGAGUGCAUCAGGGCAAUGUUGCUUCUGCACAGAAAACUGUGGUGCCUACACUGGAGCAAAAGGUGCUCCAAGAACACCACAUGAGUGAUGACCCGCCCCAAGAGUAGUGCGUGGCAGGGAGUUGGCACCCUCAGAUAGGGGUAACUGAUCGACUAACCCCACCUUCUUAUCACUAUGAUCUAGG